UAUAAAAGAGUUACCUGAAAUAACCAAACAUGUCCAGGACACUUAUGUUGAGGCUGAAACUGUGACAGGUGAAAAGCCAUUGGCACCUGGAAACGACACUGGCCUACCAAUUGAGGGGAAAAUCCAGACAGAAGAAGGUAGUGAUAAACAAAAUUCAGCAUGUCAGAUGGCUGAAUCUGGUCCUACAAAAGAUUCUGUUAAGGGGUCAGAAAAAGAGCAACCAGCUACAGAGUUUGAAGAGACAAGGCUGAG
rnacentral:misc_RNA from 1 species